rnacentral:rRNA from 1 species
CCUACGGGUGGCUGCAGUGAGGAAUAUUGGUCAAUGGGCGCGAGCCUGAACCAGCCAAGUAGCGUGAAGGAUGACUGCCCUACGGGUUGUAAACUUCUUUUAUAAAGGAAUAAAGUGAGGCACGUGUGCCUUUUUGUAUGUACUUUAUGAAUAAGGAUCGGCUAACUCCGUGCCAGCAGCCGCGGUAAUACGGAGGAUCCGAGCGUUAUCCGGAUUUAUUGGGUUUAAAGGGAGCGUAGAUGGGUUGUUAAGUCAGUUGUGAAAGUUUGCGGAUCAACCGUAAAAUUGCAAUUGAUACUGGCAGGCUUGAGGACAGUUGAGGUAGGCGGAAUGCGUGGUGUAGCGGUGAAAGGCUGAGAUAUCACGAAGAACACCGAUUGCGAAGGCAGCUUACUAAACUGCCACUGACAUUGAUGCUCGAAAGUGUGGGUAUCAAACAGGAUGAGAGACCCGAGUAGUC